rnacentral:rRNA from 1 species
UACAGAGGGUGCGAGCGUUGUCCGGAAUCACUGGGCGUAAAGGGCGCGUAGGUGGCGCUCCAAGUCUGUGGUGAAAGCUCGACGCUCAACGUCGAGUCGGCCAUAGAGACUGGAGGGCUCGAGCACUGUAGGGGCAGAUGGAAUUCCGGGUGUAGCGGUGGAAUGCGUAGAGAUCCGGAAAGAACACCGGUGGCGAAGGCGGUCUGCUGGGCAGUUGCUGACACUGAGGCGCGGACAGCGUGGGGAGCAAACAGG